UACGGAGGGUGCAAGCGUUAUCCGGAUUCACCGGGUUUAAAGGGUGCGUAGGCGGAAUAGUAAGUCAGUGGUGAAAACCUGCAGCUCAACUGCAGACCUGCCAUUGAUACUGCUAAUCUUGAGUACAGUUGAUGUGGGCGGAAUGUGUCGUGUAGCGGUGAAAUGCUUAGAUAUGACACAGAACACCGAUUGCGAAGGCAGCUCACAAAAACUGUAACUGACGCUGAGGCACGAAAGCGUGGGGAUCGAACAGG
rnacentral:rRNA from 1 species